rnacentral:tmRNA from 1 species
AAACUGGUUAUUUUUAGCAAAUUGUUGUAUACUGAAUUUGUUGCCGUUAAUGGCGGCUAUGAUGAUAAACAUCGAGAUUAAUAGAUGAUGUGGACUCGGGGGCAGAGCCCGACGCCUCCACCGUGGUAUCUUUAGGGGGGCGAAUAGAUUCGACGCGCAUUGAAAAGCUCGGUUUUCAUUCGGAGUGGUUUCCGUUAUAGAACCAAAAACUAUAAAUGCGAACGAUAAUUUUGUCGCAUGCAACUCUAACGAGCCUAUGCCGGUAACGGUAGCAGCUUAGUUGAGUAGACGCGGUUCGGGGAGCCGGGCAACAGAACUCCCCUCCU